AACGAACGCUGGCGGCAUGCCUAACACAUGCAAGUCGAACGAGAUCUUCGGGUCUAGUGGCGCACGGGUGCGUAACGCGUGGGAAUCUGCCCUUUGGUUCGGAAUAACAAUUGGAAACGACUGCUAAUACCGGAUGAUGACGAAAGUCCAAAGAUUUAUCGCCAGAGGAUGAGCCCGCGUAGGAUUAGCUAGUUGGUGUGGUAAAGGCGCACCAAGGCGACGAUCCUUAGCUGGUCUGAGAGGAUGAUCAGCCACACUGGGACUGAGACACGGCCCAGACUCCUGCGGGAGGCAGAAGUGGGGAAUAUUGGACAAGGGGCGAAAGCCUGAUCCAGCAAUGCCGCGUGAGUGAUGAAGGCCUUAGGGUUGAAAAGCUCUUUUACCCGGGAUGAUAAUGCCAGUCCCGGGAGAAUAAGCUCCGGCUAACUCCGUGCCAGCCCCCGCAGUAA
rnacentral:rRNA from 1 species